CCUGUAAGACUGGGAUAACUCCGGGAAACCGGGGCUAAUACCGGAUGCUUGAUUGAACCGCAUGGUUCAAUCAUAAAAGGCGGCUUCGGCUGCCGUUUACAGAUGGACCCGCGGCGCAUUAGCUAGUUGGUGAGGUAACGGCUCACCAAGGCGACGAUGCGUAGCCGACCUGAGAGGGUGAUCGGCCACACUGGGACUGAGACACGGCCCAGACUCCUACGGGAGGCAGCAGUGGUCAUAG
rnacentral:rRNA from 1 species